CUACGGGGGGCUGCAGUGGGGAAUAUUGCACAAUGGGCGCAAGCCUGAUGCAGCCAUGCCGCGUGUACGAAGAAGGCCUUCGGGUUGUAAAGUACUUUCAGCGGGGAGGAAGGGAGUAAAGUUAAUACCUUUGCUCAUUGACGUUACCCGCAGAAGAAGCACCGGCUAACUCCGUGCCAGCAGCCGCGGUAAUACGGAGGGUGCAAGCGUUAAUCGGAAUUACUGGGCGUAAAGCGCACGCAGGCGGUUUGUUAAGUCAGAUGUGAAAUCCCCGGGCUCAACCUGGGAACUGCAUCUGAUACUGGCAAGCUUGAGUCUCGUAGAGGGGGGUAGAAUUCCAGGUGUAGCGGUGAAAUGCGUAGAGAUCUGGAGGAAUACCGGUGGCGAAGGCGGCCCCCUGGACGAAGACUGACGCUCAGGUGCGAAAGCGUGGGGAGCAAACAGGAUUAGAUACCCUUGUAGUC
rnacentral:rRNA from 1 species